rnacentral:rRNA from 1 species
UACGAAGGGGGCCAGCGUUGCUCGGAAUCACUGGGCGUAAAGGGUGCGUAGGCGGGUCUUUUAGUCAGGGGUGAAAUCCUGGAGCUCAACUCCAGAACUGCCUUUGAUACUGAGGAUCUUGAGUUCGGGAGAGGUGAGUGGAACUGCGAGUGUAGAGGUGAAAUUCGUAGAUAUUCGCAAGAACACCAGUGGCGAAGGCGGCUCACUGGCCCGAUACUGACGCUGAGGCACGAAAGCGUGGGGAGCAAACAGG